rnacentral:rRNA from 1 species
UACGUAGGGUGCAAGCGUUGUCCGGAAUUAUUGGGCGUAAAGAGCUCGUAGGCGGCUCGGUAAGUCGGGUGUGAAACCUCCAGGCUCAACCUGGAGACGCCACCUGAUACUGCUGUGGCUAGAGUCCGGUAGGGGAGUGUGGAACUCCUGGUGUAGCGGUGAAAUGCGCAGAUAUCAGGAAGGACACCAGCGGCGAAGGCGGCACUCUGGGCCGGAACUGACGCUGAGGAGCGAAAGCGUGGGGAGCGAACAGG